UGUUGUUGCAGAAAGUGUUAUUAAAGAGGGAGGUCGGUCUAUUCCUGUGAACAGUUGUCCUCGUUUCUUCCGUCACAGCACCAGGUGCCACUCUUGCUCUGGUACCCCCAAAAUGGCUCAUCGAAGUGGGCAGGAGGACCCGGAGCGGUACCUGUUUGUGGACCGCGCUGUCGUCUACAACCCGGCCACACAGGCUGACUGGACAGCCAAGAAGGUGGUGUGGAUCCCUUCAGAGCGUCAUGGCUUUGAGGCGGCCAGCAUCAAGGAGGAGCGGGGAGAGGAGGUGGUGGUGGAACUGUCAGAGAAUGGCAAGAAGGCCAUUGUCAAUAAGGACGACAUCCAGAAGAUGAACCCGCCCAAGUUCAGCAAGGUGGAAGACAUGGCCGAGCUCACCUGCCUGAACGAGGCCUCGGUGCUGCACAACCUCAAGGACCGCUACUACUCUGGACUCAUCUACACUUACUCUGGGCUGUUCUGUGUGGUGAUAAACCCCUACAAAAACUUGCCCAUCUACUCCGAGAACAUCAUAGAGAUGUACAGAGGGAAGAAGCGUCAUGAGAUGCCACCACACAUCUACGCCAUUUCAGAGUCAGCAUACCGCUGCAUGCUCCAAGAUCGUGAAGACCAAUCAAUCCUUUGCACAGGCGAGUCGGGUGCCGGCAAGACAGAAAACACCAAAAAGGUCAUCCAGUACCUGGCCCACGUCGCCUCGUCACACAAAGGACGCAAAGACCACAACAUUCCUCCAGAAUCCCCUAAAGCGUUGAACAAGCUCCAGGGUGAGCUGGAACGGCAGCUUCUGCAAGCCAACCCCAUCCUUGAAUCCUUUGGCAAUGCCAAGACGGUGAAAAAUGACAACUCGUCACGUUUCGGCAAGUUCAUCAGAGUCAACUUUGACGUGACCGGCUACAUUGUUGGGGCCAAUAUCGAGACCUACCUCCUGGAGAAGUCCAGGGCCGUUCGCCAGGCCAAAGACGAGAGGACCUUCCAUGUCUUCUACCAGCUUCUGGCAGGAGCCGGGGAGCACCUCAAAACCGACCUGCUCCUGGAGGGCUUCAACAACUACCGCUUCCUGUCCAAUGGCAACAUUACCAUCCCUGGCCAGCAGGACAAGGACAACUUCCAGGAGACCAUGGAUGCCAUGCACAUCAUGAGCUUCUCCCAUGAGGAGAUUGUAUGCAUGCUGAAGGUGGUGUCUGCAGUACUACAGUUUGGUAACGUUGUCUUCAAGAAGGAGAGGAACACAGACCAGGCCUCCAUGCCCGAGAACACAGUGGCUCAGAAGCUGUGCCACCUGCUGGGGCUGAAUGUGAUGGAGUUUACCAGGGCCAUUCUGUCCCCCCGCAUCAAAGUGGGCCGAGACUACGUCCAGAAGGCCCAGACCAAAGAACAGGCUGACUUUGCAGUGGAAGCCCUGGCCAAGGCCACAUAUGAGCGUCUGUUCCGCUGGCUCGUCCACCGUAUCAACAAGGCCCUGGACAGGACCAAGAGACAGGGAGCCUCCUUCAUCGGCAUCCUGGACAUCGCUGGCUUUGAGAUCUUUGAGCUGAACUCAUUUGAGCAGAUGUGCAUCAACUACACCAACGAGAAGCUGCAGCAGCUGUUCAACCACACCAUGUUCAUCCUGGAGCAGGAGGAGUACCAGAGGGAGGGCAUCGAGUGGAGCUUCAUCGACUUCGGCCUGGACCUGCAGCCCUGCAUCGACCUGAUUGAGAGACCGACCAACCCUCCAGGAGUUCUGGCCCUGUUGGAUGAGGAAUGCUGGUUCCCCAAGGCCACUGAUAAGACAUUUGUAGACAAGGUGCUCCAGGAGCAGGGCACCCACCCCAAGUUCCAGAAACCCCGGCAGCUGAAGGACAAAGCCGACUUCUGCAUCAUUCACUACGCUGGCAGGGUGGACUACAAGGCUGACGAGUGGUUGAUGAAGAACAUGGACCCUCUGAACGACAACGUGGCCACGCUGCUCAACCAGUCCACUGACAAGUUUGUGUCUGAACUGUGGAAGGACGUGGACCGUAUCGUGGGUCUGGACCAGGUAGCAGGGAUGAACGAGACGGCCUUCGGCGCAGCCUAUAAGACCAAGAAGGGCAUGUUCCGUACGGUGGGCCAGCUCUACAAGGAGUCUCUCACCAAGCUCAUGGCCACACUGAGGAACACCAACCCCAAUUUUGUCCGCUGCAUCAUCCCCAACCACGAGAAGAGGGCUGGUAAGCUAGACCCCCACCUGGUUCUGGACCAGCUGAGGUGUAAUGGUGUUCUGGAGGGGAUCCGUAUCUGCAGACAGGGCUUCCCCAACCGUAUCGUCUUCCAGGAGUUCAGACAGAGGUAUGAGAUCCUCACCCCCAACGCCAUCCCCAAGGGCUUCAUGGAUGGCAAGCAAGCCUGUGAGAGAAUGAUCCGAGCCUUGGAGUUGGAUCCUAACCUGUUCAGGAUUGGUCAGAGUAAGAUCUUCUUCAGGGCUGGAGUCUUGGCUCACCUGGAGGAGGAGCGAGACCUGAAGAUCACGGACAUCAUCAUCUACUUCCAGUCUGUCUGCCGGGGAUACCUGGCCCGCAAGGCGUUUGUUAAGAAGCAGCAGCAACUGAAUUGUCUGAAGGUGCUUCAGAGGAACUGUUCUGCCUACCUGAAGCUGAAGCACUGGCAGUGGUGGAGACUCUUUACCAAGGUGAAGCCCCUGCUGCAGGUGACCAGGCAGGAGGAGGAGAUGCAGGCCAAGGACGAUGAGCUUGUCAAGGUGAAGGAGAAGCAGACCAAAGUGGAGGGAGAACUGGUGGAGAUGGAGAGAAAGCACUCACAGCUGAUUGAGGAGAAGAACAUCCUAGCGGAGCAGCUGCAGGCUGAGACGGAGCUGUUUGCCGAGGCUGAGGAGAUGAGAGCCCGUCUGGCCGCUAAGAAGCAGGAGCUGGAGGAGAUCCUUCAUGACCUGGAGGCCAGAGUGGAGGAGGAGGAGGAGAGGACCCAGGGCCUGCAAAGUGAGAAGAAGAAGAUGCAGUCUCACAUCCAGGACCUGGAGGAGCAGUUGGAUGAGGAGGAGGCUGCCAGGCAGAAGCUGCAGCUGGAGAAGGUGACAGCCGAGGCCAAGAUGAAGAAAUUUGAAGAGGACAUCUUGCUCCUGGAGGACCAGAACUCCAAGUUCCUGAAGGAGAAGAAGCUCCUGGAUGACCGUGUCAAUGAGAUGAUGUCCCAGCUGACUGAGGAGGAGGAGAAGGCCAAGAACCUGGGCAAGACAAAGAACAAGCAGGAGGUGAUGAUGGUGGACCUGGAAGAGCGUUUGAAGAAGGAGGAGAAGACUCGCCAGGAGCUGGAGAAGGCCAAGAGGAAGCUGGAUGGAGAGACCACAGACCUACAGGACCAGAUAGCUGAGCUGCAGGCCCAGAUAGAGGAGCUCAGGGUGCAGCUGGCCAAGAAGGAGGAGGAGCUGCAGGCUAUACAGGCCAGGGGAGACGAGGAGGUGACCCAGAAGAACAACGCCCUGAAGCAGGUACGGGAGCUACAGGCCCAGUUGGCAGAGCUGCAAGAAGACCUGGAAUCAGAGAAGGUCUCUAGGAACAAGGCUGAGAAGCUCAAGAGAGAUCUGAGUGAGGAACUGGAGGCCUUAAAGACUGAGCUGGAGGACACCCUGGACACCACCGCAGCCCAGCAGGAGCUCAGGACCAAGCGUGAGCAGGAGGUGACGGAGCUGAAGAAGGCCAUCGAUGAGGAGACCAAGAACCACGAGGCUCAGAUCCAGGAGAUGAGACAGAGACACUCCACAGCCCUGGAGGAGCUGUCUGAGCAGCUAGAGCAGGCCAAAAGGUUCAAGGUCAACCUGGAGAAGAACAAGCAGAGCACAGAGAGUGCCAACAAGGAGCUGGUCAGUGAAGUAAAGGGGCUGCAACAGGCCAAGACGGAGUCAGAACACAAGAAGAAGAAGCUGGAGGCCCAGCUCCAGGAGUUCAUGGCCCGGGUCACAGAGGGAGAGAAGGGCAAGGGAGAGCUGGCCGACCGCUCCCUCAAGCUACAGACGGAGCUGGACAGUGUGUCUGCUCUGCUGGAAGAUGCAGAGAGGAAGGGAAUCAAGCUGGUUAAAGACACCGCUGUCCUGGAGAGCGCUUUGCAGGACACACAGGAGCUUCUCCAGGAAGAGACGCGUCAGAAGCUGAACAUGAGCAGUCGUAUCCGCCAGCUGGAGGAGGAGAAGAGCACCCUGCAGGAGCAGCAGGAGGAGGACGAGGUGGCGCGCAGAAACCUGGAGAAACAGCUGUGCACACUGCAGGCCCAGCUGGUUGAGACCAAGAAGAAGCUGGAGGAUGACGUGGGGAUGGUGGAGGGUCUGGAGGAAGUGAAGAGGAAGCUGCAGAAGGACAUGGAGCUGGCCACCCUGAGGCUGGAGGAGAAGGGCAUCGCCUUUGAGAAGAUGGAGAAGACCAAGACCCGCUUGCAGCAGGAGCUGGACGACCUCAUGGUGGAUCUGGAUCACCAGAGAACCAUCGUCUCCAACCUGGAGAAGAAGCAGAAGAAGUUUGACCAGCUGCUGGCUGAGGAGAAGAACAUCUCUGCACGCUAUGCUGAGGAGAAGGACAGGGCUGAGGCAGAAGCCAGGGAGAAGGAGACCAAGUCCCUGUCUCUGGCCCGGGCUCUGGAGGAGGCUCUGGAGGCCAAGGAGGAGUUUGAGAGACUCAACAAGCAGCUGAGGAGUGAGAUGGAGGACCUGAUGAGCUCCAAGGACGACGUGGGCAAGAACGUCCAUGAGUUGGAGAAGUCCAAGAGGACUCUGGAUCAGCAGCUGGAGGAGAUGAGGACUCAGCUGGAGGAGCUGGAGGACGAGCUGCAGGCCACGGAGGACGCCAAGCUGCGUCUGGAGGUCAACAUGCAGGCCAUGAAGGCCCAGUACGAGAGAGACCUGGCAGGGCGAGACGACCAGAACGACGAGAAGAAAAGGGCACUUGUCAAACAGGUGCGUGAGAUGGAGGCAGAGCUUGAGGAUGAGCGGAAGCAGAGAGCUCUAGCCGUGGCUGCUAAGAAGAAGCUGGAGAUGGACCUGAUGGACAUGGUUGGACAGAUAGAGGGCGCCAACAAGGCCCGUGACGAAGCCAUCAAGCAGCUACGCAAAUUGCAGUCCCAGAUGAAAGACUACCAGAGGGAGUUGGAGGACGCCCGGGCCUCUCGGGAUGAGAUAUUCUCCCAAUCCAAGGAGAAUGAGAAGAAGCUGAAGAGCCUGGAGGCCGAGGUUCUCCAGCUGCAUGAGGACCUGGCGGCAUCAGAGAGGGCGCGGCGCCAUGCAGAGCAGGAACGGGAUGAGCUAGCGGACGAGAUCUCCAACAGCACCUCGGGCAAGUCUGCCUUGAUGGAUGAGAAAAGGAGGCUGGAGGCUCGCAUUGCUCAGCUGGAGGAGGAACUAGAGGAGGAACAGGGCAACAUGGAGCUGCUCAAUGACCGCUUCCGCAAGACAACCAUGCAGGUGGACACCCUGACCCUGGAGCUUGUGGCAGAGCGCAGCAUGGCCCAGAAAAGUGAGAAUGCGCGCCAGCAGCUGGAGAGGCAGAACAAGGACUUGCGGGCCAAGCUGGGCGAGCUGGAGGGCUCCGUGAAGAGCCGGUUCAAGGCCUCCAUCAACGCCCUGGAGGCCAAGAUACUGCAGCUGGAGGAGCAGCUGGAGCAGGAGGCAAAGGAGCGAGCAGCGGCCAAUAAGCUUGUGAGACGGACAGAGAAGAAGCUGAAGGAGGUGUGCAUGCAGGUGGAGGAUGAGCGCCGCCAUUCCGACCAGUACAAGGAACAGAUGGAGAAGGCCAACUCUCGCAUGAAGCAGCUGAAGAGGCAGCUUGAGGAGGCUGAGGAGGAGGCCACACGUGCCAACGCCUACCGCAGGAAGCUGCAGAGGGAGCUGGACGAUGCCACUGAGAGCAGCGAGGGUCUCAGCCGUGAGGUCAACACACUCAAGAGCCGCCUCAGGCGUGGAGGCCCCAUCAGUUUCUCCUCCAGCCGCUCGGGAAGGCGUCAGCUGCAGGUGGAGGGAACAUCACUCGACCUCCUAUCCGACGAUGAGGUGGAAAACAAGACCACGGACGCCAAUGCCAACGAGACGCCAGCAGCUCCCCAACCAGAGUAGACGCGCUCCCUCCAGCCCACUCGCAGCAUGGCCUCGGCCCCCACAAACCUUACCCCUGUUCUCCUAACCCCAGACACCAGCAGUGGACCCCACUACUCUGCCUUACCCCUCUAUGGCAAGCUGCAGGGCCAAGCAAAUCCAUCAUCUCCUCCAUAUGAAUAUACCGCACAUCAAGCCUUGGAUUCGUUUUUAACAUCAAUUGCAGAUAAAAGUGCAUUUAAAUUGCAUAUUUGUCUGAGUGUGUAUAGGCACUCGAAAACAAAUAGCAGGAGUUUACCAUAAUUAUGUUAAGCUACUUCCCUGGAACAGCCAUUAGAAUCAAACAGCCCUCUAGCUAGAAUUAACCACUGUCAUUUCAGCUGGUUUACUGGCACACAGGUGAUCGACUGCACACAAGUCGGGAAAAACAUGUGUCUUUCAUGAUUGUACAGUAUUGGACCAGGAUAUGUAAAACAAAGCACAGCAUAAGCGAGGGAAUUAUUUUUAAAUGGUAGCCUAAAUGACGAUCCCAUCGAAUGUUUUUCAUCAAAACCACCACUGUCAUAGAGAUACUGCAAUCCACUUAGUUUAGUAUAAAAAUAACUAUGUGAAUAACUCUUUAGUAGCAGGUUUGUAGUAAAUUAGAUUGUACCACGCCAUGUUGCCUCAGCAUUCCCCCUGUAUAUAUGACCAGCAAAAGACCCUGUUAACUUUAUCAAUAUAACCUUGUCCAAUAACCCACCAUUUUAUAUUUGACAUAUCAAUCUACUUUAAGUGGUGUACGAUAAUGUGUGGAAUUAGGUUUGUCAGACUUGGAGCAAAGGCCCUUUUUUUAGAAAGACAGCCCAAAUGUGUGCUUGACAUACUAUAAUAUUGCUAUGUAUAAUUCUGGCUAUUCAGUUAUGUUUUCUGUACCAUGUACAAAAUUACUUAACUCAAAAAGGUCUCUUUGACAUCUCGUGUCACCUUAAUUUCAAUGCAUUACAAAUGGCUGAAUAAUAUUAGCAUGAUUUACAGAAGGGUAAUUCAUGUUUUAUUGAGUGUUAGAGCGUUGGUUUUAAUUCAGUGGUUCAGGGAAGAGCAAUCGAUCAAUUUGAAUAUGCACACUUGAUUAUGCCUUGAUUAUUAAAUGUUAAACAUAAAUGACCAUUUUGUAAAUGACUAAUUACAUAUUUGAGGCCUUCAUUAUUAUUUUAAGCCAUAACAAAUUGGGGGAAAAAAGGUUUAUCUGUUUCUCUUGAAAGACACUUCUCAAUAAAGACAUGAGGGGAAAAAAGUGUAUAGUGUUUGAACCAGUUUCAUAGCUUUAGUGUCAUAUUAUACCAUAAGCACCUCUCCCAUCGUGUUGGUGUGAACCAGUGUUAUAACAGAGUGAUUUAUGGAGCCUUCUGUCUGCCAGGCAGAAAGUAGGAUUUUAUUGGGUUCAAAGCUUUAACAUCCUGAAGGUUGUUAUUAUUAGUGGACUGGCUGUUGACGACCAGGUAUUCAUCCUCUCCUUUUAUUUCUUGUAUUUCUAGACUUUUUUGUUGUAGUUGUUAUUAUUAGUGGACUGGCUGUUGACGACCAGGUAUUCAUCCUCUCCUUUUAUUUCUUGUAUUUCUAGACUUUUUUGUUGUUGUUGUUGUUGUAAAAGACCAAUAAACAUAUUCAUUAUAGA